ensembl:lncRNA
UGCCUCACUGGAGCUGUGUGCAGUGGGUGGGCUGAGACGCUGGGUCCCGAUUGUGUCCUCGGAGAAGGCACAGGAGCUGUGGCAGCCUUCACUCGAGACUGUUAGCCUAAGCAGGGCUGUGAGAGGCGGACAGGACCCACACGUCCGGGCCCAGGGACACCUCCCUGUGGGCUCCCAUGUCCUGCAGCUUGCUGUGCUUGACAGCCACUGGGAUCCAGGUGAAAAGCACCACACGCCCAUGUGGCUGUGAAUGUCAGUGAGGAGUCAUAAGGAAAUACGUUGAAAACAGUGGGAGUAAGAGCACCAGACACAUGGAAAGGUUGACACAUGGAAAUCUGGGCAUUUGGAAGUAGAUUGUGGCUGGAAUUUGAUAUUCCUCAGAAGUUCCCGUGUUGAGCACUUAAUCCCCACAUUUCUAUGUUAACGGUAUUUGGAGGUGGGCUUUGGGGAAGCAGUGAGAAUGAGGUGGGGGUUGUGGAUUGGUCGAUGGUGACAUUAGCGGCUUUGCUAGAAGAGAAAGGGAAACCCGGGCUGCUCACUCGCUCUCUCGCCAUGUGAUGCCCACGGGGCCCUCCCGGGAUGCCACCCAGAUGCUGACACCCUGCUCUGGAACUUUCCAGAACUGGGAGCUGACCAUACUUUUGUUUGUUAUAAAUCACUUGGUCUCGGAAAUUUUGUUAUGGAAAUCGAAUACACAGGUGUCAAAAUCAGUCUGAUCUAGGAGGACUUGGAAGACCAGCUACCUAACAGUGAGGAUUUUCCCUGCAGACAUGGGUCCUCGGACUCAGGAGAGAGGCAGGCGCUGUCUCCUGUGCGCAUCCCCUCUCCCGGCUGUGCCUGAGAUGAGCAAAGCUGAGAUGCCUGCAGCCGUCCUUUCAUGACCACCUUUCUCCUUCACGGUGUUCCAAUCCCAGACCAGUGCUCAGGGCUCUCAUUUUCUUCCCAUUACGGCCUCCUCUUGAGGAGUCUUAGGAGCUAGUUUCUCCAGUGAUCCCAAGUACUGAUGAAGUUCCAGGCAUUAUUCGCUCUGACAUAAUGGUAUCUUGAGAUGGAAAAGGAACUGGGCAUCAAGUGUAGGAUUUCAGGCAUCAGCAGGUUAGGAGGGGAGGUGGGGCUUUUACACACACGCACACAUGGAUGCACACGCGCACGCGCACACACACACACACGCCAUGCCUCAACUCUGCUAUGCCACAGAGUACACAAAUCUGCACAGCUCUCUGGAAAGGCCUGUGCUGGCUCUUUUCUGGGGAGGAGAAGAGGCAUGACAUUGUGGAGGACCCUCUGCCGUUCCUUCCUCCCCACCUCCCUCAAGCCCAGUGCACAGGGGCACGCACGGGUCUUCCCUGCCUCCUUUUCCUGCUUGCUGAAGUAAAGACGUAAGCAGUUUCUGUCUUACACCUGCAGCCCCUCCGGGGGUGGGCCGGACCGGGUGGGAGUGAAGGGCAGUAGCUUCCUCCACAACAGGCAUUGGAGCUCACAACCCAGCUGAGCGGGCCCCUGUCCGGGGUGCUGGCC